AGCUUGGGGAAUAGGGAAAGGGCAAUUAAAACUAAACUCUGACUCGGCCCUCCAGAUGGGCUAUGGCCGGGAAGAGGUCAGGGAGCAAGGGGGCCACGGGGAUCCGGGGCGUGGGACUCGGGCCCCGGCCUGAGUCUUAGGUAUCCGUAGCGCCCUCCUUCUUCCUCCUCUUCGCUGAAUACAGCUCACGGUAAGUACUGGUUCACACAGUUCGUUCUCGGGGUGCUCACUCUCUUUCUCUUCCUCCACAGGCAACGGCUGGGACACAAAGGCACAGUUAAUUCGGCUUGGUUUUGCUCUCACCUCUUCGCUGAUUGCAGCUCACAGUAAGUACUGGUUCACACAGUUCGUUCCUUGGGUGCUCACUCGCUUUCUCUUUCUCCACAGGCAGCGGCGUAAGUACAGGUUUCCUCGGUCUCUCCUCGUGUUACCCACUCUCUCUCCUUUUCUCUCCACAGGUAUCAACUUGGGCACAAUAGCACAGUUAGUUUGCUUUGAAUGGCUCUCACCUCUGGGCUGGACACAGCGUACUGUAAGUACAGGGUUCCUCUGUUUCUCCUUGUGUUACUCACUCUCUCUUUCCUUUCCUCUCCACAGGUAUCAACUUGGACGCAAAGCACAGUUACUCUGCUUUGGAUGGCUUUCACCUCUGGGCUGGACACAGCGUACUGUGCUAUCUCCGGAGAUCUGAAGCACGCUCACAACAUAUGCUGUACUGAACUAGGCUAGGACCAGCAGUCUCCUUGUCCUCCCGCGACGAAGUGCGUGAAGGCGGGGGUUUAUCUGACAGGACACACGGCAAUACACAGCAGCCCACAGCAAUAUACAGCACCACGUCAAAAUUAUAGGUUUUCACAGCAUGAAGACUCACCCACCACACUCAGUGUACGAAAAGGACACCCGUCUUCCUUCACUUCGCUUGGUUCGGAUCUGGCGAUGGAAUAUGCGGCCUAGCUAGUGAUGUCGUCGUUGUGACUACUUCAAUAAGUAUUCCUUCGGCUCUCCCACCACACUAUAUUAGGGGUAGGGCCGCCCUCCUCCUCCUGGAGAGAUCUACACAACGCCAGGUCAAUAUACAGGGCACUUUCGACUGGCUCUUAGUACUCACAUCAAUGCCGCUUCCAAUCCCCUUUUUCACGUCAUCUCAGUUCGCCGUAUAAUCCGUUCACUUCUCAACCUUUAAGGUUCGCGAUGUCUUCACAAUCAUACAAUUCCAGCCUGAGGGAGAGAGAGAGAGAGUUAGACAGCCGCCAGCAGCGCACCAAGACGGGCACAACACAGUGCUUCA
ensembl:lncRNA